rnacentral:rRNA from 1 species
CCCUUAGAUGUUCUGGGCUGCACGCGCGCUACACUGGUGCGUUCAGCGAGCUUAGCACCUUAACAGAUAUGUUUGGGUAAUCUUCUGAAAACGCACCGUGAUGGGGAUCGAUUAUUGUAAUUAUUAAUCGUCAACGAGGAAUUCCUAGUAAGUGUGAAUCAUCAGUUCGCGCUGAUUACGUCCCUGCCCUUUGUACACACCGCCCGUCGCUGCUACCGAUUGAGUGGUCCGGUGAAGAUUCCGGAUAGGACUUUUUUGAUUUAUUUCAAUUUUGUCUUAAAAGCUAUCUAAACCUCAACAUUUAGAGGAAGGUGAAGUCGUAACA